rnacentral:tmRNA from 1 species
AGGGGAUAGACCUAAAUUUAAAAGAUAGACUAAGCAUGUAGUGACUUUUAUUCCUUAUACUUAGGGACGCGGGUUCGAUUCCCGCCACCUCCACUU